rnacentral:lncRNA from 1 species
GUGGAGGGUGCCAAGGGAGAAGACAGGAUUCAGAUGUGUACAUAGCAGGUGAAUGAACUGCUCUUGUUGACUGCUUUGAAACGAGCGUUAGUGUGGUCCCCACGCAGGAUGUGUGAGAGGCAUCCUUGGAAAGUUUACAAGGAUAGCUUAGGGGAUGUCUGGGAUGUCUGUUGUUGGAUUUGUCAGGAUUUCUUCCCCUCUUCCUCUAUUUUGGAUGAUGGAAAAAAAAUUAAAAUAUUUAGAACCAGCCAGCUAGACUCAGUGUAGACUGCACGCCAGGCAGGAGCUGUCCCAGGGCACAACUUCCCGCCACCAGACCCAUCGGCUGUGUUGGCCUUGAGCAUGAUCGGCACUGGGUUUCUUUGCACGACGUUGGGUCUGGUGCUGGUUGGUCCCGGCAUCCUUGACAAACAUUGUUGGCCCAUUGCCCUCAGUCUUUUCCACCACAUCUCCCUGGUUCCACCACAUCUCCCACACAACUUGAUGAGGUCGUAGUGGAGGAAGUUGUUUCUCCGUGGAGGGAUCUUCCAAGGGUAUGUGGGCUGCUGCUGCCAUCCUGGGGUCUUGUGCCAAAGAAGAGUGAGCCACUGUGGAUUUUCCAGGCUGUGAAUACCUUUCAGCACGGGCUUCUUGACCUUCAAAGCUUGCUUUGGCUUUGAUUUUUGCAAGGGAGGGGCAUGGUGUCGGGGGUUUCCUUCUUUGCUUUCAACACCAUCCUCAUAAAAAGGAUCUCUCUGUCCCAGAUGUUUUAUAUCUUUUAGGAUCAGUUGCCUCUAACACAAUCGACAGAAAUGAAGUAAAUAAGAGGUUGACAUCACUUUUGAUGAUGUUCUGAAAGAGAAGAAAUUUGAGGAAAAAAAUUAAAGCCUUCAAAAUGUGGCAACUGGGAACCAGCGAGAAAGCUACACCAUGGCGAGUUGCCCCCACCAAGGCAGAGGAGACUCUGAGUGGGUCACGAUUUGACUUAGCAGGUCCAGUGGCCUUUCAUCCACGGCUGUGCCCUAAUCCAAGCUUCUUCAAGCUGUGUUUGAGUUAACCCAAAUACUUCGAGCUGAGAAUUCUGUGCUUUGCUGCUUUUAUUCCAGGGAGUGGUUAACUGUGAAUAAAGGUACUCCAUGCAUUCUUAUGAGUUUUUAAUGGUCAUAGCUGAGAAUGAGUAGGCGGUGAUAGGACUGGGUUUUGAUUUUGGAAAAGCUCUUGGAUUUUUUUCUAGUUUUUGGAGUAAAGUCACAUGCAGAAGUAUUGCCACUGCCGAGGGGAGAAAGAUCUCAUCGUGCGUGUCUGUGCUGAUCAGAAAGUAAUGCUGACAAAUAGUAAGAAUUGUAUACUCCAGAUGGAGCUUUGAAGUGAAAAUGAAUCCCUCGCUCCUCCACGGCUAUAUGUGGGUCUCUGUGUGUUUCCGCAGUGGUGGUACCCUCUGGAGACUGGCCACAGCAUCUCCACUCAGGCCUGCAGCCCGAGAUCAUACUAUAUAUGUAAAUAUUCUUUUAAAACAGAGCUUUAAUGUUCUGUAGGUAGGAAAAAUAAAGCUUUCACAUAGAUUUUAUUUUUUUUUAUUUUUUUAUAUUUUUUUUAUUUUUCACAUAGAUUUUAAAAGCAUUCAAACUUACUGGGGUGCCUGGGUGGCUCAGCUGGUUAAGCAAUCGAUUCUUGGUUUUGGCUCAGGUCCUGAUCUCCUGGGUCAUGGGAUGGAGCCCCACUUAGGGUUUCACGCUCAGCAUGGAGUCUGCUUGAGAUUUUCUCCCUUACUCCUGUUCCCACUCGCACGUGAGUGUGCACGCUCCCUCUCUCUAAAAUAAAUAAAUAAUUUUUUUAAAAAAGGCACUAUAACUUACUGCUGAAUUCGUAUGGAUAAAAUCACGGAGAAAUUCUUGACUUGUGUUACACAGAGGCAUGAGGUCUGGAAAGCUUGAAUGGGAAGUAGUCACCACAGUUUUGGGCAUAUUGUAGAGUUCAAACCCAUAUGUCUUAAAUAACUGAGAAAUGUCACUGCCAUUACAAGCAUCUUAUAAAAGAGUAGUAGCUAUGGAAGCUGAGGCUUACUAGCCAUGGUAGACAGGGCCACCUCCUGCAGGAGAGGGAGGCACGUGCUGCUCUCUGGUGACCGGAGCCCCCAAAGCUUGCACCCCACUCCUGCGUCCUCCUGCAUGCUGGGAUUUCAGUGGUUGUGGCGCUGUGCCAUUGCAUGAAGCACCACUCCUCUUCCUGGGAUUUCUGACAGAGUCGGAUUGACCAUAAAUUUUGCAAAAUUGCUCUCGUCUCUCCCACCUGUGGUUUUGCUUUCAUGUUUGUUGGCUUUAAAAAAAAUGAAUCAUGAGAGGAAAACCAUGUGCCAAGGGUCCACCUCAAUUUAUCAGCAUCUGUGCAUUCCCUGCUAAUUGCCAAUGCUGUGCAGCCUCUCAUAUGUAGUACCAGGCGGUGACACACACUGGAAUCAAAAACCCUUUGGUGUGUUUCCUUGUGGGUUUGUGAAAUAGUUCCAGUCUACCCCAUGUGGUCUCUCAUAUUUGUAGAAUGCUCAGAGCACUAAGAUGUUAAAAUAUAUUUUUUUCAAUCAUCACUUUGUGUUUCUUAUUUAUGUCACUGGUUAGAUAGCUUAGCCCUUGGAGUUUUUAUUGACUUUGUUUCGUUUCCUAGGGAGAUCGCCAACUCCUUACCAGAGAUGGUAGAGGAGGCCUGUCUCGGAGCCGCCCUGCCUUCACAUCCCUGCUCCUUGGGCUGGGCUUUGCACCGCUGCCCUGUGGCUUUUCUGACUCAGUGAUGGUCAACGUGAAGGCACAUUGCUGCCCAAUCUCUUUUGAUGUCUCCUGCUUCACAUGGUGAUUCCCUUUCUUAUUUCUGUUUUGAGAAAUUGAGCAAGACCUGCCAUUAAAGCAGCAUUGGCUAACAUGAUUUAUACUUGGCAAUAAGGCAGCCCAGGUGGCUCAGCAGUUUAGCGCCGCUGUCAGCCCCGGGCGUGAUCCUGGGGACCCGGGGUCGAGUCCCACAUCAGGCUCCGUGCAUGGAGCCUGCUUCUCCCUCUGCCUGUGUCUCUGCCUCUCUCUCUCUCUCUCUCAUAAUAAAUAAAUAAAUCUUUAUACUUGGCAAUAAUGUAGCAACUGCCUGGAAAUAACCUCAGGUUUUCUUAAUUAAAUUAGUCACAAACUUCCAGGGAAUAACCCAAAGGUCAUUAUUAUCACUGCAAUCCUAAGAACCUAUAUAUAAGAAAAAAUGAGUUGAUUACCUUAUUUGGGGUUUGAGUUAAUUUGAUUUACACGCUGCUCUGGAUAGUGGUAUAAAAGGAAAGUGGUGCUUGUUUUUCAUAUUCUGCGGAUUUCUAUUCUUAGCUUGGAUAGUAUGCCUAAGCACUUAAAAAAAAAAGUUGGCGCACACUGCCGAAAGCAAUAAAUUGCUAAAGAACUCAUUUUUGACGCUGGCUUUAGCACCUUUGACCUUAGACUAACUUUAUUUACUCAGUUACUCUGUUAAACAUUAUUAUAUAAUAUAUCAUACAGGGAUAUUUUACUUUUCUGGAGGAAUUAUUCCUCAGGACCGCUCUGAAGCUAUAGAGU